rnacentral:lncRNA from 10 species
GUUUAGAGAGGUUAAGGGCCUUGACCAAGGUCACAACGCUCAGAAGCAGAAGAGGCAGACAGCCUCUAGCCCAGAUUCUCUGCCUCCAUAUCCGGUGCUGUUCCCUCUACCCCACUGCCUGGGAACAUCUGCUGGAUCAGCCUCAGCGAAUGCCCUGGAAAAAUGGCCAUCUGUCUGGCUAUUAAAAUCCCAUCAGCUUCAUUGCGAGAACGCUUACUUCCCCCAUGCCUGCCAUCCCAAAGGGGGCUCUUACAGCCAACUAGCUCAUGAUCGCUCCGGGCCCUCCAAAGGGUAUGAUCAUUAUGGAGAAAUCUUACAGCUUCUUCCAAGAAAACACCUCUUCCUACCAGAGAUGCACGGCUUUCUUCCCUCUGUCUCUGUGAGCUGCUACGCCCUGUCUGCGCUGGUGUCAUUUUAGUUCUGUCUUCAGCUGUCAAAAGACAAAGACUCUACCUCUAAUUUGCCAUAGGCGUAGAGGAGGAUUUGCAAACUUCGACGCCUACAGAGGCCGGGAAACGGCCACGCACGGUGGAGCGGAGCAGCCAUGUAAGCCACAAUAAGAGAGCCAUGGCUGAGCCGAGCGUGGAGCACUGUAUCACCUCGCAGGCCAUCAUGACUUGGAAAAGAUUUGGGACCAUUGAGAGAGACACUUCUUGCUCAAAGAGAACAAGGAUGUAGAGUGGCUGGCAGAGCCCCUGUGAGCAAGCAGCCUGGUGGGGGCAAGAAAGGAGAAGCCACUGAUGGAUGAGGAGCUCAGAUAUUCAGCAGAGGGAAUUUGACAGCCUGGACAGAGAGUAAGAUUUCUGUUCUGCCUCACAGUAAGGCAAAACGGACAGAGGGGGAGAGAAAACACGGAGUCUGCUUCCUCUACAGGCCACAUUAUGCCCACUGUUGGCUUCACCUCUGAAGGUCUGGAAAUCCUUUGGGGGAGCCAUGGAGCCAAGACAGAGGGGAGGAAGGCAUAGGAGAGAAUAAGCACCAAGAGUGAAUUUCUUGCUGUCCCUGGAGACGAUGUUUCCUUUAGGUGACAACAGAGGCUAAUAUCCUGAGCAGCAAGCUACCAGGCAGCCUAGAGACACCUUGCUUGAACAAGCUGUUUUCGCAUCUUGUUGUAGAUUUCAUUGAACUCUUCUCUGAGAGGGCCAAUUCAUCUUUCCAUGCAGAGACUCUUAAUUCAGCUUUCUUGAAAAGUUCAUGAACUUCUGUCUCUCUCCACCUACCUGUAUCCACAUACACACUGUCAUCUCCCACCCACGCUCCUCGAAUCCCCCUAAGGACACCAGCCUGCUGGGGAUUUCAAGUUCACACACACACACACACACACACACACACACACACACACAGACUUUUCAGUCUGCAGAGGAAGAAAAUAAGGGUGGUGGUUUUUUCCCUGGCCCUUCUCCCUCUCCCCCUGUGCCUGUCUCUAACAGGUGGUCAUGUAUCUUCUCAUUCUUCAGCAGACUAGUUAAUUUCAAAAGCAGCCUUAGAGGCAAGGACAUUUUUUUUUUCUAUUCUUAUUUUCAUCAAGAGGUGAAUGAAAAUAAUCACCUCAGGAGACAAAAAGCCCUAAUGAAAACCAGACAGCAAAAGAGAUCAGAGGAAGACAGGGUUGUUUUUCAUCUGGAGUCAUUAGCGGCAUCUUAGAAAGAAGAUGUGAAAUCUGUUCGCAAUUUCUCCAGAUUGGGCAGAAAACACAGAUCAAGUGGUUAAGGGGUGGGGGGUGGGGGGAUCUUUUUUGAAAGUCCAAUUUUUCACACAAAAGAAACACAAGUUGGGGGAACCUCAAGCACUGACAACUUGAUCUCCAUAGAGAGCGACCCCAUUCUGAGUGCUCAUAAAAGCAAGCACACUGACAGCCCCCAAGGACUGUCUACGCCAACUUCCAGAAACAACUGAACUUACAGCCUUUGGAGAUCAGUGCAGUCUUUGAAAAUAAGAGGCUUACAAUCUCCAAACUACUUCCUAAGUCGCCAAGGCCCAACUUCCUAAGGUGGUCCCAGGCCUGCAAAGCUCCAAUUGACAGAGGCUUUGGAAAUUAAAGGCCCGGUCAAAAGCGGGCCCGGAGCUCCAGCCCUUCCUGCCCUGGCCAUGGCUACAAGUGGAAAGGGAGUAUCAUCCCUGAGGAGAGCCUGGCAGGGCCCCACAGUACUGCCCGGGGGUAGUGAGGCCCCGCUGGGGAGAAUGGCCCAACCCACAGUGCCUGUGCGCAUCGCACAAUCCUUGGGAAGUGUUGCAAUUCUAACCCUUUACAGACAACUCAGGGAGAGAGGGAGUGUGCAGCUUGGAGAGAAAGUUAAAGGGGGUGGGCAGCACAUUUGGGGGUGUGGACAUCAAACAGAUGGAAUUUUAAUCAAAAUACUUAAGCCUUUUUAAUGCACGAGUGAUACAAAGCUACCUCUAGUCUGUUUGCCUUCUGGGAAUUACACAAUAUUUAAAAGAUCACAAUAUUAAGAAUUUGGAAAUAAAACACAGAUUUAGAAAAGUAUAUUUAUGCCAACCCACCCAUUUCUGGGUGUAUUUAUGGUAAAACAAUGUCUUGUCUCUCCUCUAGUCUCUUGGCUACCUAUCUCCCUCCAUCCAUCUAACUAAAAUCCAAGGAAAGCAAAUUGCCACUAUGAUCAUUUCCCUAAAGCGGUCCUCAUUCACUUUGCUUUUCUUCUCUUUCGGAAUAAAAGUCUGUCAUAAA